CCUACGGGCGGCUGCAGUGAGGAAUAUUGGUCAAUGGGCGCGAGCCUGAACCAGCCAAGCCGCGUGAAGGAAGACUGCCCUACGGUUUGUAAACUUCUUUUAUACAAGAAUAAAGUUAGGCAAGUGUGCUUUUUUGUAUGUACUUUAUGAAUAAGGAUCGGCUAACUCCGUGCCAGCAGCCGCGGUAAUACGGAGGAUCCGAGCGUUAUCCGGAUUUAUUGGGUUUAAAGGGUGCGUAGAUGGGUUGUUAAGUUAGUUGUGAAAGUUUGCGGCUUAACCGGAAAAUUGCAAUUGAUACUGGCAGCCUUGAGAACAGUUGAGGUAGGCGGAAUGCGUGGUGUAGCGGUGAAAUGCUUAGAGAUCACGAAGAACUCCGAUUGCGAAGGCAGCCUACUAAACUGCCACUGACAUUGAUGCUCGAAAGUGUGGGUAUCAAACAGGAUUAGAUACCCCUGUAGUC
rnacentral:rRNA from 1 species